AAGUCGUAACAAGGUUUCCGUAGGUGAACCUGCGGAAGGAUCAUUACAAAAACAAAAUCCAAACCACACCACUGUGCUCUUUAUUGUGAGAAAAAUGUCUUUGUGUGUUGUUUGUUGGUGGAAGGGAAAGAAUUUAUUUUUUUCUUUCCUUCACACACACACACAAGCUUUUCCUCACAUGUCUUUGUUUUCAAUUUUUCAUUACUCCUUGUUUAACCAACAACGGAUUACAAUGUUAAAACUUGAAACAAACAAACAAAACAAAAUGACAACUUUUAACGGUGGAUCUCUUGGCUCGU
rnacentral:misc_RNA from 1 species